rnacentral:rRNA from 1 species
AGCGAACGCUGGCGGCAGGCCUAACACAUGCAAGUCGAACGGACCUUUCGGGGUUAGUGGCGGACGGGUGAGUAACACGUGGGAACGUGCCUUUAGGUUCGGAAUAGCUCCUGGAAACGGGUGGUAAUGCCGAAUGUGCCCUUAGGGGGAAAGAUUUAUCGCCUUUAGAGCGGCCCGCGUCUGAUUAGCUAGUUGGUGAGGUAAUGGCUCACCAAGGCUACGAUCAGUAGCUGGUCUGAGAGGAUGACCAGCCACAUUGGGACUGAGACACGGCACAAACUCCUACGGGAGGCAGAAGUGGGGAAUCUUGCGCAAUGGGCGAAAGCCUGACGCAGCCAUGCCGCGUGGAUGAUGAAGGUCUUAGGAUUGUAAAAUCCUUUCACCGGUGAAGAUAAUGACUGUAGCCGGAGAAGAAGCCCCGGCUAACUUCGUGCCAGCAGCCGCCGUAA